GUUCAGCUGAUGAGUCCCAAAUAGGACAAAAUACUCAUCCUGGAU
rnacentral:hammerhead_ribozyme from 1 species